GCGCAAAUGGGCCAAGCCCAACAGAUUUGAGGAAUCGGCUCGCAGUCCAUGUACACCGCGCACCACACGCAUGACCUCGCCCAUCCGCAACGCCGCCUCCCCCAGCGUCCGCCGCCGCCGCGCCGGGCGAGAGCGCCAUGGAUGGUGCUACCGUGCGAGCGCGGCAUGUCAUGGUAGUAUAUUCUCCAUCGUCUUGGGCCAUCUCCGCCGCUGAUUAGAAGCCAUCUGUUCGCUCCUCGUCUCCUCUCUUUCAGCAUCACCGCCACCGCCAGUACCAUCCAUCUCCGCCGCCGAUUGGCGCCGCCAUGGAGCAGCCGGACUACGCUUAUUCCCCAUCUACUCCCUCUCUCGUUCUCGCUGUCGCCGCCGCCCAGUACUGCCGCCUCGCUAUUCUGCUGCUAACCCUAGCCGCCUCUACCCAAGAUGAGGAGAUGCCUUCGACCGCAGCCAUCGUACAUCGGAAUCUACAUGAGCGAAGGUUCAGCAGCGGAGGGCUACAUGGGGCAUCACCAUCCUCCAUAGCAGACGUGAUGCGCAGCGGGACGGUCGGAAGGAGUUCCUUCGAGUCCCCGGCCACAUCUCCGGUGAGCCAUGUCUGGCGGCGGGUGCAGCGUCUGUACAAUCUGGAUCUCACGCCGCUCGAAAGCGGUCGCCUUUUUCAGUUGCGAAGAUCAAGGAUUGAAUUCCAGUUUCUACAGACACAGUAGCCAUCCGUCCUCGCCGCAUGUGCUCCGCCCAACAAGGUACUACAUAUAAUAUUGGCAUUGCAUGUUAUAUGUACAUGUUUAUUGGGUUAACCAUUCACCGAGUGCAUGCAAUAUUUUCCAUCCCACGCGGCGGCGAGGAUGGAGGCAUAGAAGGAGCGUGACGGUGCGGGCUCGCAGCCCUACCUUUCCGAUUCGCCUCCUUAUCUGUAGUGGCUGCCACUCAAUCAAUCUAACCUGCACAAAUCAGAAUAUGGUGGCAGCAUUGCAUGAACGGAUGCAUACAUGUAUCUGAUCCUCUAUGAGUUCAUUAACUACACGAAAAGCUAUACAUGAAUGUUACACCACCAUGCAACACUUGUCGGGACAGGAAGCGUCUUUUGAUAGGACAUCUGAAAUUAAAAUGUGUGUGAUAGAAAAAGGCUUCUACAUGACUAUAUGAUUUGCUGCAUGAGACCAGAUGAUUCUUCUGGUUAAUGCAUUUGUGAGAAAUCCAAGAACAAAGGAGAAACUGGUAUUCAGGGUUAAGAGGGCCAGCCUCAUGGAUUACUUCCAACAACAUCCGGAGGGCGCAGUACUACAUAUUUUGAUUGAUUACCAAGUGUUGGUGUACUAUACUCUUCAGUUCUUCAGAACUUUAUGAACUCGAGUGAGAUUCUCUGAAGAAAAAAGUUAAGGAGACAAUACUCAGUAUCUACUUCAAUCUCAAUUAUAAACACAAGAUGUGUGUGUGUUGUCAAGUGCAAACCUCUGGAGAGUGAUUUCACUAUCAUGCAAUACUUAAGGAUCAAGGUUUGUGGUUGAUACAUUAAAAUUCUGCUCUUUUACUUAUGGUGACAUCCCAAUGCAAAUGGAUCAUUAGGUUUGUUAUGUGCACUACCAUGACCUCCAUCAAUAAUGGUACCAUCUUCUAUAGUUUUAUGGUUGUCAGUCGAGUUCUGCACACAGAUUAGCAAUGAAGGUGCAGUGCUGGAGUUGAAGGUUGAGAUGAGUGGCACACAAAGGAGGAGCGAAUAGAAAUGGAGGCAAAGCUGGUAUAUAUAUUUCUUUUUAAAUUUGGAAUAACGCUAGAGUGACUGGAGUUGGGUAAUGUUGAGCCACCGCGCCUACUAUAUAUAUGUAUAGCAGGACAUUGGAAUAUCUUUCGUGAAAUUGAUUGAGAUAUGUUCAAAUUUAUGAAUUCAUGUGUCAUGAA